rnacentral:sRNA from 1 species
UGCCGGCUACUUCUCGUGGUCACAUUG